GCGCUUGUGGCCAAGUGGAAAGGCAUCGGUCUUCGAAGCCGACGACCGUAGGUUCGAAUCCUACCAAGCGCA
rnacentral:tRNA from 1 species